GACGGAGGAUGCAAGUGUUAUCCGGAAUCACUGGGCGUAAAGCGUCUGUAGGUGGUUUAAUAAGUCAACUGUUAAAUCUUGAGGCUCAACCUCAAAAAUCGCAGUCGAAACUAUUCGACUAGAGUAUAGUAGGGGUAAAGGGAAUUUCCAGUGGAGCGGUGAAAUGCGUAGAGAUUGGAAAGAACACCGAUGGCGAAGGCACUUUACUGGGCUAUUACUAACACUGAGAGACGAAAGCUAGGGUAGCAAAUGGG
rnacentral:rRNA from 1 species